rnacentral:piRNA from 1 species
GGGGUCCCGAAACAUGGCAACAGGGCUGAG